GCAUUACAUUACAUUAGACAUUUUGAUUUAUUAGAAAUCGAAUUAUCGCAUACACACUCAACAUUUUAUCAUAUAAUCUAUAAAAAAUAGAUGAAUGAAACAGACUUGUAGACUGUUGAAAUUUUCAAAGCGCUAUUCUCUCCAUAAUGCGAUAAAUACUAAUUACGUGAGGUAGGCGCGACACGUGCAAACGGUGUAAUAAUAUAGAAUCAAAAACGAGAAAACCGAGUAAAAGUGAGUAUAGCUCGUGGCAAACGCGCGUAGGUGUGCACGAGGGAGGUGUUUUCGCCAGGCAGGUGUGGGCUGGCUCCGAGGGGAUAAACGAAACUGGGUCACCCCUGGGAACCGGAGGGAGCCUGGCUCGCAUCCGGGUGGAGAGAGAGAGAGAGAGCCAGCCUGUGAGUGUUGGCGGUAACUUGGUAUUAACACCCACCCACAAUGAUAUCGAGGAAGGAAAUUACCUGCGCAGGUGCUCCUUUCUCGCAAAUCUCGUAUAAAUGAUCUUUUGAUCAAUCUCUAAUGUUACGUGAAUUCAAUUCACGUUAAAUGAGUUCCCUAUGUAACGGAAAAAAAAAAACAAACAUUCAAUUAUAUAUUUCGGAAUAGUAAAAAUAGUAAAUUAUAAUAUCGUAGUCUCAGGCAAAUGAGAAAGAUAUAAUGAAGUAAAUUGAAAUAAAACGAGUUAUUAUCACAAGCUGUUGAACUUAUCCGAUUAUACGUUGAUCCGACUAUACGUUGACUCUUUAAAAUAGCUACCGGGAGAUGAGAAGUAAUGCUUGAUUCAACCACGAGAUAUUUUAACGUACCGUAAUUUAGCAACUCGGGCUGGCUCCCCUUUUGCAACGAAUGACGUCGGCAUCAGUUUAAACGCUCAUGAUUGGGCAGAAUCGAUGUAUCGCUCGCGAAUGUUAUAACGCGACUUUGCUUGCUAAUCUCUUACACCCAUCUCGCACUGACACUCUUGACACAAUUGAUUAAUAACACUUUAAAAUAAAUUCGUAAUAAUGUCACACCAUAUACUUGUCAUAUCUACAUUACCUACAUACUUCUUACACGUUUUCAUAUAAAAUAUAAAGAUUAUUAUUAUCCAUAAAAAGAUAUACUAAAAUGAUAUACUAAAAUUGAAAAUGUUGAUGUUAAACGAUGUAACUUGAAUACAAGAUUGCCAGUACAACAAAGUCACGUAAAAUUUUCUUUUUAAGUCAAGCCUUAAUAUUAUUCGUGGGCGAUAAUUCCCGAAAAGAAUCCGGAAAAGAUUUUAAAUAGAGGGCUCAAGAAAAUCGAAUCAGCUGUUGAUAAACACAACAAACGCGGCGCGAUUGCGUAAUGCAUACGUUACGUGACGAUGAGUAUAGCUCUCUUCCUCUUCCCGCACGUUCGUUAUACGUGUAAUAUAUUCACAACCUCUAAAGUACAAGGCCACGAGAGAGUAGGCUACGAGUUCACUAAGAACGCACUAUCGCGGCAUUGCAUUAUACGGGUCAACGCAGCCACUCGGAAAUGUAGUCUACUUUAGAGAAAAACAAUUUUCUCGCUCGAACUUAUUAAUGUAAAGAGAUUAAAAUGAGAAAUUUUAGAACACGCAAAAGCGUAUUAUAGACGAGAGUUAACCUUUUAACGGUCUUAUUAUACCACGGCGCUCGCACUAAAUAUCACAGUCAUUUUAACAAUUGCAACACGAUGAACCGCAUGAACCGAAUUGCUGUCAGACGAGAUGGCGACCGCCUUUUCGCAGCGCCUACUCUAGUGUACUACUUGUGUACAUCAGAGAUAUGGGUCCUAAAUAAACCAAAAAAAUCUUUUUCUACUUAAAAAAA
rnacentral:lncRNA from 1 species